rnacentral:rRNA from 1 species
CCUACGGGAGGCUGCAGUGAGGAAUAUUGGUCAAUGGCCGCAGGGCUGAACCAGCCAAGUCGCGUGAGGGAUGACGGUCCUAUGGAUUGUAAACCUCUUUUGUCAGGGAGCAAAGGGCGCCACGUGUGGCGCUUUGCGAGUACCUGAAGAAAAAGCAUCGGCUAACUCCGUGCCAGCAGCCGCGGUAAUACGGAGGAUGCGAGCGUUAUCCGGAUUUAUUGGGUUUAAAGGGUGCGCAGGCGGAAUGUCAAGUCAGCGGUAAAAUUUCGGGGCUCAACCCCGUCGUGCCGUAGAAACUGGCGUUCUUGAGUGAGCGAGAAGUAUGCGGAAUGCGUGGUGUAGCGGUGAAAUGCAUAGAUAUCACGCAGAACUCCGAUUGCGAAGGCAGCAUACCGGCGCUCAACUGACGCUCAUGCACGAAAGCGUGGGUAUCGAACAGGAUUAGAUACCCGGGUAGUC